rnacentral:rRNA from 1 species
CGAAGGGGCUAGCGUUGUUCGGAUUUACUGGGCGUAAAGCGCACGUAGGCGGAUCUUUAAGUCAGGGGUGAAAUCCCGAGGCUCAACCUCGGAACUGCCUUUGAUACUGGGGAUCUCGAGUCCGGGAGAGGUGAGUGGAACUGCGAGUGUAGAGGUGAAAUUCGUAGAUAUUCGCAAGAACACCAGUGGCGAAGGCGGCUCACUGGCCCGGUACUGACGCUGAGGUGCGAAAGCGUGGGGAGCAAACAGGAUU